GAUGAAGAACGUAGCGAAAUGCGAUACUUGGUGUGAAUUGCAGAAUCCCGUGAACCAUCGAGUCUUUGAACGCAAGUUGCGCCUCAAGCCAUUAGGUUGAGGGCACGUCUGCCUGGGCGUCACAUAUCGUUGCCUGAUGCCAGUUUCCUCGUGAUGGGUGACUGUGCAGGGCGAAUGAUGGCUUCCCGUGAGCAUUGUUGCCUCAUGGUUGGUUGAAAAUUGAGUCCUUGGUAGGGAGCGCCGUGAUAGAUGGUGGUUGAGUGACGAACGAGACCCAAUCAUGUGAGACCCCUACCGAAUUUGGCCUUCAUGACCCACAUGCGUCUUUGGAACGCUCAUGACGAGACCUCAGGUUAGGCGGGGCUACCCGCUGAGUUUAAGCAUAUCAAUAAGCGGAGGA
rnacentral:misc_RNA from 1 species